rnacentral:rRNA from 1 species
GCCUUCGGGAACUCUGAGACAGGUGCUGCAUGGCUGUCGUCAGCUCGUGUUGUGAAAUGUUGGGUUAAGUCCCGCAACGAGCGCAACCCUUAUCCUUUGUUGCCAGCGGUUAGGCCGGGAACUCAAAGGAGACUGCCAGUGAUAAACUGGAGGAAGGUGGGGAUGACGUCAAGUCAUCAUGGCCCUUACGAGUAGGGCUACACACGUGCUACAAUGGCGCAUACAAAGAGAAGCGACCUCGCGAGAGCAAGCGGACCUCAUAAAGUGCGUCGUAGUCCGGAUUGGAGUCUGCAACUCGACUCCAUGAAGUCGGAAUCGCUAGUAAUCGUAGAUCAGAAUGCUACGGUGAAUA